rnacentral:lncRNA from 1 species
UUCAAGGCAACGAUCAAGAAAACAGUCAGUAAAGAGAAACUGCUUCGAGCUAUUACCUAAGUUGAAGAUCAAAGAGAGAACAUAGCCAAGAUCGUGACAACAAUGGCGAUGUUUAAGAGGAAGAUGAGAAAAGUAAACAGUACUACUCCCUUAAGAAGAUUCUUUUCUUCUUCUUUUUCUCUUUCUGCAAUAUUUUGUUCCAAAAAAGCUUUAAACUACCAAAAACAUCCAUUAUCUAUCUCUGUAAUAAGAGAACGGUGUAAAUCAGGAAAUAUUGAUUUAGAUGAAGCAUUGGGUUUGUUCAAUAGAUUGAUUGAAAUGAAACCCAAACCUUCAAUUUUCCCUUUUAAUCAAUUGUUAGGUUCACUUGUUAAAAUGAAACACUACUCUACUGUGAUUACUUUGUCCAAAAAGCUUAUGCUUAUGGAUUCCUCUAUUCAAGUAGAUAUCUCUGCGGUUAACAAUUUGAUUAAUUGUUAUUGUUUAAUUGGUAAGGUGGAUUUGGGAUUUGCUGUUUUUGGUGGGAGAGUUUUGAAAUCUGGGUUAGAACCUAAUGCUGUUACUCUCAACAUUUUACUCAAGGGGCUUUCGACGAUAGGUAGAGUAGAUAGUCUUAUGGAUUUGUUUAACAAAAUGGUGGAAGACAAUGGGUAUUAUCCGAGCGACAAAUUCACUUAUAAAGUAGUUGUUGAUGGGAUUUGCAAAGGUGAGAAUGCUAAUGCUGCUUUCAGGUUUGUGAAAGAGAUGGAAAUGAAGAAACUUAUUAUUAAACCUGAUGUAGAAAUGUAUAACAUGAUUAUUAAUGGUUUUUGCAAGGAGAAUUUGAUAACUGAAGCCUUGAAUCUUUUUCAAGAAAUGAUUGAUAGAAAAAUUGCACCAGAUGUUGUUAGUUACACCUCUUUGAUUAAUGGUUUAUGCAGAAUUGGUCGAUGGAAAGAAGCAAUGGUUUGGUUUGAGAAAAUGUUGAGAGAGAAUGUUUCACCAAAUAUUAUAACAUUUGGUGUUUUAGUGGAUGUGUUGUGUAAACAAGGGAGGGUGAACGACGCAUUCGAGAUAGUCAAAUUAAUGUCUCAGAGUGGGAAGAAUCCUAGUAUUGUCAUAUACACAUCUUUGGUCCAUGGUUUAUGUAUUGCAGAUCAUUGGAAACAGGCAGCAAGAUUGUUCUAUAAAUUGUUAGAUUCUGGAAUCUCACCAGGUGUAGAAAUAUAUACUAUUUUGAUCGAUGCUAUCUGCAAAAAAGGUAUGGUUGAUAAAGCACAUCAAAUGUUGGAGAUGAUGACUGAAAGGAGCAACCAACCUAACAUUUUCACAUACAACAGUUUGAUGGAUGGAUAUUGUUUGCAAGGGCGUAUGAAAGAAGCAGAAAGAGUUUUUGAUUCAUUGGCUGCUAGAGGUCACGAGCCUUCCCUUCUGAGCUAUAGCAUAUUGAUCAAUGGUUAUUGCAAGGCUAGAAAAAUGAACAAGGCAUUCCAAAUUUGUAAGGAUAUGAUAUGCAAGGGUGUCAAACCUGAUACGAUUGUCUAUACUACCAUUAUAGGUGGGUUAUGCAAGGUUGGGGAAAUUUCUGAAGCAAAAGAGCUUUUCAGCCAGAUGCUAAAACAGGGAUUAAGUCCAAAUCUAAUCACUUAUGGUACAUUAAUGGAUGGACUAUGCAAGAAUGACUGUUUUGCGGACGCAAUGGAAGUGUUUAAAGUGAUGGAAAAUAAUGGACUAAAGGCUGAUAUUGUGAUUUACAGCGCCAUUAUAGAUGGCAUGUGUAAAGAAGGGAGAAUGAAUGAAGCAAAGGAUCUCUUCGACAGUCUCUCGGCCAAAAAGGUGCACCCUGACAAUAGGACUUUUAACAUAAUGAUUAAUGGAUUUUGUAAGCAAGGGAUGUUAAAAGAAGCUCAGGCUUUGUUUUCUGAGAUGGAAAAGAUAGGAUUAAAACCAGAUGAUUUUACAUUUAAUAUUCUAGUUCAAGGGUUCUUGUUUCAAAAAAAUAAUGCUCAUGAAGGUUUGCAACUCCUCAACAUCAUGAUUGAGAAUGGUUUCUCACCAUUUGCUUCAACUGCGUCUAGGCUAGUGGAUAUGCUUGUGGAUGCUGAUCCAAAUUGUAAAGAAAUAGAGAUGUUUCUUAAGUUCUUGCCAGAAGACUAUGGUAAAGGUAAUGUGUAAAAUGUUAAUUACAUAGUUAAACGUAAUGGUAUCCUGCCAUGUGGUUUCAUAUGUGCGUGUGUUAGAGGAUCUAUUCGAAACGCUGCGAUACAUUUGGCGCGGUGUUUUUGCGACUUUUCUCCUAUAUGCGUUCAUUGGAUACAUAUAUAGUCUUCAAGUGUCAAACACUGCCGUUAAAGGUAAGGUAUCCUGCCAUGUGGUAUUCAUAUGUACGUUCGAUCUCGAUCAGCUGUGUGUUGGAGGAUCUAUUCGAAACGCUGCAAUACAUUUGGUGCAGUGUUAUGCUGAAGGAAUUUGUGACUUUCUCCUAUAUGCGUUGACUGGAUACAUAUAUUAUCUUCAAGUGUCAAACACUGCCGUUAGCGAUGCUGUGAUGAAAACUGCAACUGAAACUUCUAAAAUUGAUUCUGUAUGCCCAUCGUCCUUUCAAUUGGCUGAUGUGUCAUCGCCACUUGAAGAAAAAUUCUUGAUGAUAAUUGUACUGACCACACAUGGACUCAGGAUAAUGUUCGAGGUAUUUGCAUGUUGUAUCAAGUUCGUCCUCGUUACUUAAGUUUUUACUAGGGAGAAAUGCGUCUUUAUUUUUCUUAAUUUGUAUAUCUGCAUUUGAUAUGUAUGAAGAGAAUACAUGUUUUGUUAUAAAUAGACUUUUCUCAUCUCAAAUCCCAAUAUAUCAUCUGAGAUUGUAAAAGUUAAUAGUGAUGAGUUGAUCUCACUGAUUUGAGUGUGUUUGCUAUCUCGUUUAAUUCCUUGUUUUUAUGGGCAUAAUUGUUUGUGAAUAAUUAUAGCUUAGACCCUUGAACGUUUUUAAAUCUCAAUGUUUAUACCCAAGUAUACAGUACAAUUGAAUUGGAAAGCGUGUUUGUGAUAUUCUGUGGAAUGUAUGUUACAUUGUAUUCAUAUUAUUGAUUAAAUUGAGGCAAUCACUACAGGAAUGCAGAUGGCUCUGGAGAAAGGCUAUACUAAACCCAGGGUGGAAUCUGACUCAAAGCACGCAGAUGAUAGCAUCAAUGGGAAGAUUCAGCCUUCAUGGAGAUCAAAACACCUUGUUAACAGGGCAAGAAGAAUGGCACAGUUGUUUGAGAUCAUCACAAUUAGCCAUGCUUACAGAGAGACAAACAGGUGUGCAGAUUCUCUGGCUCAGCAAGGAACUAAUGAGACUGCUCUCAAUGUUUUUAUUGGCCCUUUUCCUGAGCAACCGAGUAAACUUAUAAACCAGGAUGCUGCAGGAACCUUGUAUCCUAGAAUGUAAUUGUUUUAUUUAUUUUUUUUCAAUAUAAUCUGGUCGGGAUCUGCUAACCACAGCUUGCUUCAUGCAAAAUAAUUAAAUAAGUGAGCUUUAAGUCUUAACUUGACAUUUGAUAAUAUGUUUUCUGUUAAUGCUCUUCAUUCACUUUAUUAGAUUAAUUAGUUGAC